AUCCAGAAAGAAUUUUAAUUAUUUUACUAACAAUAAUAUCAUUUAAUUAUUUUUCGCUAAAUUUACCGAUUAUGUGAGCACAAAUACAUUUUUUAUUUAUGACGCAUCGAAUGCAACUAAUGGCUGAAAGUCUCAUUUAAGUUUCAGACAUUCUAUGUGGCAAAUCAAAAUUCCUCAAUCAACUAUGGCUUUUUGCAGCGAAUGAAAAUCUAAAGCAGCGGAUAAAUAUCCAUUUAAGAUAUUCCAAAGGGCAAAUUAAAACCACUAGUAACCAUGGCUUUUUGCAGCAAAUGUAUAUCCUAAUUGGCUUGAAGAAUGGUAAAAACGAGUCCAAGGAUACGGAUAGUAACUCAUCCUAAAAAUAAAAAUAUAAAUAAUAUAUUCAUAAAUGAUGAUGGAAAAUAGAGUGACAGUGUGAUUAAACAAUCGAAUUUGUAUUCCAAGCUUGACUGAAACAUAAAAAUUAAUAAUUAUUAUUCCAAGUUCAUCUUUUUGGUUAGGCAAAAAUUGUACAGACAAAACAAUUACAU
rnacentral:sRNA from 1 species